UACGUAGGGUGCGAGCGUUUAAUCGGAAUUACUGGGCGUAAAGCGUGCGCAGGCGGUUUUGUAAGCCAGAUGUGAAAUCCCCGGGCUUAACCUGGGAAUGGCAUUUGGGACUGCAAGGCUGGAGUGUGGCAGAGGAGACUGGAAUUCCUGGUGUAGCAGUGAAAUGCGUAGAUAUCAGGAGGAAUACCGAUGGCGAAGGCAGGUCUCUGGGCUGACACUGACGCUCAUGCACGAAAGCGUGGGGAGCG
rnacentral:rRNA from 1 species